UUAAGAUCUAGCCAAGAGCAAGAGUAAGAUUUGUCUUCCAAAGCCUGGUGUAUUUUCUGCAGCUCUGAUUGUGGUGCUGAAGAUGCAGAUCAGUGGAUGCAGGUGCAGAUGGGUUCACAAGGACCAGCAGAGGGAUAGAGACAUCACUGUCGAUGAGAAGAAGGGCUCUCUUAAGCACUCUCCAAAGACAGGGGAGAAAGCCAAGCACGGAGUGGAUGGUAGGAGGCCAGGGUCAGACCUGCUGCAGAGGGAGUUGCUGCGAGUGCAUUGUGUGCUGCUGCCCUAAAGAUGUCCUCCCUUGUUGGAAGAAGG